UAACCAACAACUAAUUUUGAGGCAAAUCUCUCGUCCUGUACUGCUCGAGACCUUGUGAUAGCCCAACCCUGCAGAUCAGCCACGGGACAGCUCAGGAAGCCGCUGCAGAGAAAUGGAAAGUUUCUUCCAGAAAAAAAACAGCUUCGCCACGGCUCUGAACCACUGUCCCACAUCUCAUAUAAAAUAAGUCUGGGACAACCUAGAAAUCUGCACUGAGGCUCUAUUGCAGGUGUGGUCCAACACGAGACCAGACUAAGCUGAGGCAGAGGAAACAUUGGAGCCAGGCCGGCUCAUCAAGUCUGCAGUAGAAAUCUCUUUUGAAGUCAGCAAAGAGCUCUGCACAGACAUCAGGAUAGCCCUUCGAUUUACAUAGCUUCAAGCCUACUGUUGACCAAUGCAGCAUUCAAUGGACAUCAUAAUCCUCAAGAAAUGAAAUCCCUCAUUUCACCAAAAAUGCAAAUUAUGAUAUAAUAGUAUGAUAUUAAUCAGAAUAUGAUUCUGAUUUCUUCUUCUUCUGUAUGGCAGGGCACAGUGAG
rnacentral:lncRNA from 1 species